GGGCACUUGGCACAGUUGGUAGCGCGCACGCUUCGCAUGAUGAUUGCGUGAGGUCGUGGGUUCAACUCCCACAGUGUCCA
rnacentral:tRNA from 2 species